rnacentral:rRNA from 1 species
UACAGAGGUCUCAACCGUUGUUCGGAUUCAUUGGGCGUAAAGGGUGCGUAGGCGGCCCGGUAAGUCAGUGGUGAAAUCUCCUUGCUUAACAAGGAAACUGCCAUUGAUACUGUCGGGCUUGAGUACAGUUGCUGUGGGCGGAAUAUGACAUGUAGUGGUGAAAUACAUAGAGAUGUCAUAGAACACCGAUUGCGAAGGCAGCUCACAAAACUGUAACUGACGCUGAGGCACGAAAGUGCGGGGAUCAAACAGG